rnacentral:rRNA from 1 species
GUGGGGAAUCUUGCGCAAUGGGCGAAAGCCUGACGCAGCCAUGCCGCGUGAAUGAUGAAGGUCUUAGGAUUGUAAAAUUCUUUCACCGGGGACGAUAAUGACGGUACCCGGAGAAGAAGCCCCGGCUAACUUCGUGCCAGCAGCCGCGGUAAUACGAAGGGGGCUAGCGUUGCUCGGAAUUACUGUGCGUAAAGGGCGCGUAGGCGGACAGUUUAGUCAGAGGUGAAAGCCCAGGGCUCAACCUUGGAAUUGCCUUUGAUACUGGCUGUCUUGAGUACGGGAGAGGUGGGUGGAACUCCGAGUGUAGAGGUGAAAUUCGUAGAUAUUCGGAAGAACACCAGUGGCGAAGGCGACUCACUGGCCCGUUACUGACGCUGAGGCGCGAAAGCGUGGGGAGCAAACAGGAUUAGAAACCCCUGUAGUCC